rnacentral:lncRNA from 1 species
CCACCUGCAGCUUGGCACGGCGUGCCAGCUUUUGGGGUGUCCCUCCAGCCUCCCGGGUCCUCCAGGGAGCCAAAAAUCCAGCUGGAGGGUGCGGGGCAGCGCGGGUACCCCCGUGUCCCACCAGGAGCAUCGCCCCCAAAGACCCCUGUCCCGGAGAUGGGUGCUCUUGUCACCCCUGGAAAGGGCUCCCCGGGUGGCUCGCUGGGUGCCCGGGCUAUUAUUAGCCCCCCGUCGCCCACAUGAGUUUCCUCCCAGCUCGCUGACGACAGAUGCCGCCGGGGGCCGGGCACGGCGGCGGUGGCGGUGGCGGCGGGGUGGGGGGGACGAGGCCGAUGGCCCCUCGGUGGGGAUAAGGCAGCGCCUCGGCGGGCUGCCCGGGUGCCCCCUGCGUGGGGUCUCCUGCCCCCCACCCCCUGCCCCGGGAGCUCCCCGGCCCCUCCUGGAGCUGCCAUGGAGGGCGCCUCGGUGCUCAGCCCGUCCUCGUGGGAGAAGCGGCGCGCCUGGGUGAGGCAGAGCCGCUGCUGGAGGACCACGGUGGUGGAGGAGGAGGCGGCCGCUGCCAUGCAGGACGUCCCCGAGCUGCAGCCCCCCCACCUGGACGACGUCUUCCUUGAAGGUUUGGGGGGGCGCAAAUGGGCAAACGGAUGACCCCGUGCACGGGAACUGCUCGUGAGCGCGUGCCCGUGCGCGUGCCAAGCCACCCGUGAGCACGUGCAAGGGCGCAGCGUGCCCGUGGGCACUUGCCCGUGGUGGUGGUGUUGGGGGGGGUUGUGCACUCUCCCCCCGCCCCCCCGGGGGUUGUGCUGGGCUCAGCGCCGGUGGCCGCAGCGCCGCGGGGCCCCUCGUGCUGGGCUCGUGCUGCUUUAUCUCACGCUGCCUCUCCGCUCCCCGCAGGAAGCUCCUCCAGCAAGAUAGAGACGUGGCUGCAGCACUGUGGGUGAGCUGCUGGGGCCACAGGGCGCACGCUGC